GCGCUAUCAGAUGAGCCUAGGUCGGAUUAGCUUAGUUGGUGAGGUAAUGGCUCACCAAGGCGACGAUCCGUAACUGGUCUGAGAGGAUGAUCAGUCACACUGGAACUGAGACACGGUCCAGACUCCUACGGGAGGCAGCAGUGGGGAAUAUUGGACAAUGGGCGAAAGCCUGAUCCAGCCAUGCCGCGUGUGUGAAGAAGGUCUUCGGAUUGUAAAGCACUUUAAGUUGGGAGGAAGGGCAGUUACCUAAUACGUAAUUGUUUUGACGUUACCGACAGAAUAAGCACCGGCUAACUCUGUGCCAGCAGCCGCGGUAAUACAGAGGGUGCAAGCGUUAAUCGGAAUUACUGGGCGUAAAGCGCGCGUAGGUGGUUUGUUAAGUUGAAUGUGAAAUCCCCGGGCUCAACCUGGGAACUGCAUCCAAAACUGGCAAGCUAGAGUAUGGUAGAGGGUGGUGGAAUUUCCUGUGUAGCGGUGAAAUGCGUAGA
rnacentral:rRNA from 1 species